rnacentral:ncRNA from 2 species
AAUCGUGGGGGCGCAACGGGUGCCCGAGAGGGCUUAAUCGGGAAGUCCGGAAAGGUCGCCAGGAGGCGAUCUGGGCCGGCACUGCUCCCGCAACUGUGACCGGGGAGCGCAUCGCCACAUGCCAUUGGGAGGGAUCUCCCGAGAAGGCGGCGAAGACGCGCUGUGAACCGGGAAGUCAGGAAACCGGCCCGAUGCCGUCGUUUUUU